rnacentral:lncRNA from 10 species
GCAAGCUGAAGCUUAUUUCUCAUGAUAUAGGCAAGAAAAAUGUGUCAGGUUGCCACCACCUUCCUCCCUGGGCCAGAAUUUUCUGCUCUUACGAUGCUGAUGAUUGUCUAAGAUUGCACCAUCCACCCUGGAGGUUGCUGACUCCCAUUUGAUUGCUGGCCUGCCACUCAUCCUGUGCUGUUUUCUUGGAGCCUGACCUCCUCAGUGAUUGCUGCUGGAGAGACUGAAUGGUGCAACCUGGAAGUGCGGUGUAGCU